rnacentral:rRNA from 1 species
UACGUAGGGGGCAAGCGUUGUCCGGAUUUAUUGGGCGUAAAGAGCGUGUAGGCGGCCAGGUAGGUCAGCUGUGAAAACUCGAGGCUUAACCUCGAGACGCCGGCUGAAACCCUCUGGCUAGAGUCCGGAAGAGGAGAGCGGAAUUCCUGGUGUAGCGGUGAAAUGCGCAGAUAUCAGGAGGAACACCGAUGGCGAAGGCAGGUCUCUGGGCCACUACUGACGCUGAGAAGCGAAAGCAUGGGGAGCGAACAGG